AUUGAACGCUGGCGGCAGGCCUAACACAUGCAAGUCGAGCGGAUGAAGGGAGCUUGCUCCUGGAUUCAGCGGCGGACGGGUGAGUAAUGCCUAGGAAUCUGCCUGGUAGUGGGGAUAACGUCCGGAAACGGGCGCUAAUACCGCAUACGUCCUGAGGGAGAAAGUGGGGGAUCUUCGGACCUCACGCUCUCAGAUGAGCCUAGGUCGGAUUAGCUAGUUGGUGGGGUAAAGGCCUACCAAGGCGACGAUCCGUAACUGGUCUGAGAGGAUGAUCAGUCACACUGGAACUGAGACACGGUCCAGACUCCUACGGGAGGCAGCAGUGGGGAAUAUUGGACAAUGGGCGAAAGCCUGAUCCAGCCAUGCCGCGUGUGUGAAGAAGGUCUUCGGAUUGUAAAGCACUUUAAGUUGGGAGGAAGGGCAGUAAGUUAAUACCUUGCUGUUUUGACGUUACCAACAGAAUAAGCACCGGCUAACUUCGUG
rnacentral:rRNA from 1 species